rnacentral:rRNA from 1 species
GUGUGAUUAAGCUACAAAGGGUGCACGGGGGAUGCCUUGGCGUCAAGAGCCGACGAAGGACGUGGUUGACUGCGAAAAGCUCCGGGGAACCGUCAGCAGGUGUUAUAGCCGGAGAUGUCCGAAUGGGGAAACCCAGUUGAGCUAAUCCUCAACUAUCCCUGGUUGAAUAAAAUAGGCCAGUGGAAGGGAACCGGGUGAACUGAAACAUCUAAGUAGCCCGAGGAAAAGAGAGUAUUCUGCUAGUAGUGGCGAGCGAACGCGGAAAAGCCCAAACUGCUGUACUUGUGCAGCGGGGUUGUAGGACCUGGCAACAAUUAUGAGUUUGUUAGCGGAAUUGUACUGGAAAGAUAGACCGUAGAGGGUGACAGUCCCGUACGCGAAAACGAACUGAUGAGGGCCGGGUAUCCUGAGUACCACGGGGCACGCUAAUCCUGUGGGAAACCGGGGAGUCCACUCCCCAAGGCUAAAUACUCUUGACGACCGAUAGUGAACAAGUACCGUGAGGGAAAGGUGAAAAGAACCGCGGUGAGCGGAGUGAAAUAGAAUCUGAAACCGUGUACCUACAAUCAGUCGGAGCCCAAUGUCUGUUUGGAAGCAGAAAGGGGUGACGGCGUGCCUUUUGGAGAAUGAGCCGACGAGUUACUUUCUGUGGCAAGGUUAAGGCAGCGACAGCCGGAGCCGUAGCGAAAGCGAGUCUGAAUAGGGCGGCAAGUCGCAGGGAGUAGACACGAAACCGGGUGAGCUAACCAUGGUCAGGUUGAAGCGAGAGUAAUGUCUCGUGGAGGACCGAACGGGUAUACGUUGUAAAGUGUUCCGAUGAACUGUGGUUAGGGGUGAAAUGCCAAACGAACUCGGAGAUAGCUUGUUCUCCCCGAAAUAGCUUUAGGGCUAGCCUCGUGUGUUUAAUCUGGGAGGUAGAGCACUGGAUUGGCUAGGGGGUCUCUGACUUACCAAACCAAACCAAACUCCGAAUGCCGAGAUUUGAGAGCACGGGAGUCGGACCGCGAAUGAUGAGAUCCGUGGUCGAGAGGGAAAGAGCCCAGAUCGUCAGCUAAGGUCCCCAAGUGAUGACUAAGUGGGAAAGGAUGUGAGACUACUGAGACAUCCAGGAGGUUGGCUUAGAAGCAGCCACCCUUUAAAGAGUGCGUAAUAGCUCACUGGCCUAGUGGUCUUGCGCCGAAAAUAUAACGGGGCUAAAGUCAUCCACCGAAGAGUUUGGUAGUAGGUAUGGAGUAGGUAGUAGGAGAAAAAGACCCCCUUACUACCUACUGCCUACUACUACUACCGAGCGGUAGGGGAGCGUUCUGUAGGAGAAAAGAAAACAGUGCUGACCGGAAGGACAGCUUGCGGCCUACAGAAGUGCGAAUGUCGGCAUGAGUAGCGAAAAACAUGUGAGAACCAUGUUCGCCGUAUGUCUAAGGUUUCCGACGGAAGGUUAAUCCGCGUCGGGUUAGUCGGGCCUAAGCCGAGGCUGAGAAGCGUAGGCGAUGGACAACAGGUUAAUAAUCCUGUACCGCCAAAUGGAGCGAUGGGGGGACGCAGGAGGGUAGACCAGCCGGGUGAUGGACGUCCCGGUGCUGAACCGGUAGGGUGAUGAGCCUCGUAGGGAAAUCCGCGGGGGGAACUUGAGCGGUUGUAAGCGGGCCGUAAGGCCAGAAGUGGUUAAGCCCCCACUGACAAGAAAAGCCUCUAAGCGAUGAAAUUUGGCGACCGUACCGCAAACCGACACAGGUAGACGGGUAGAAAAUACCAAGGCGAUCGGGGAAACUCUCGUUAAGGAACUAGGCAAAAUAGAUCCGUAACUUCGGGAGAAGGAUCGCCCUGGCCGGUGAAGUGAGAACUUAUGGAGCUGGCUGGGGUCGCAGAGAAAUGGCUCUAUCGACUGUUUAACAAAAACACAGGUCUGUGCCAACGCGUAAGCGGACGUAUACGGGCUGACGCCUGCCCAGUGCCGGAAGGUUAAGAGGAGGGGUGCAAGCUCCGAAUUGAAGCCCCGGUGAACGGCGGCCGUAACUAUAACGGUCCUAAGGUAGCGAAAUUCCUUGUCGGGUAAGUUCCGACCCGCACGAAAGGCGUAACGAGUGGAGCACUGUCUCAACGAGAGACCCGGUGAAAUUGAACUAUGCGUGAAGAUGCGCAUUACCCGCAGCAGGACAAAAAGACCCCGUGGAGCUUUACUGUAGCUUGAUAUUGAGUUAGGGCUUGACUUGUGUAGGAUAGCUGGGAGGCUGAGAAGCUGGUCCGCCAGGAUCGGUGGAGCCGCCGUUGAAAUACCAGCCUGGUCAAGUCUUGGCCCUAACGGUUAGCCGUGACCCGGCAACCAGACAGUGUCAGGUAGGCAGUUUGACUGGGGCGGUCGCCUCCUAAAGAGUAGCGGAGGCGCCCAAAGGUUCCCUCAGGCUGAAUGGAAACCAGCCGCAGAGUGCAAAGGCAUAAGGGAGCUUGACCGCAAGACCCACAAGUCGAGCAGAGACGAAAGUCGGGCUUAGUGAUCCCACGGUUCCGAGUGGAAGGGCCGUGGCUUACCGGAUAAAAAGCACCCUGGGGAUAACAGGGCUGGUCUCGCCCAAGAGUUCACAUCGACGGCGAGGCUCGGCACCUCGAUGUCGGCUCGUCGCAUCCUGGGGCUGGAGUAGUAGUCCGCGGUCGGGCUGUUCGCCCGUUAAAGCGGUACGCGAGCUGGGUUCAGACCGUCGUGAGACAGGUCGUCUCUCUCAUCCGUGGGCGCAGGUAAAUUGAGAGGGCUGUCCCUAGUACGAGAGGACUGGAUGGACCGACCGCUGGUGUGCCAGUUGUUCCGCCAGGAGCAGUGCUGGGUAGCUACGUCGGGCAGAGAUAACCGCUGAAAGCAUCUAAGUGGGAAACUUGCCUCAAGAUGAAUUUACCAUCCGGUUAAUCCGGGAGAGGCCGCUGGGAGACGACCAGUAGAUAGGUGGCGUGUGGAAGGGCAGCAAUGUCCGCAGCUAAGCCAUACUAAUGGCCGAAGGCUUAAUCUUUCU